rnacentral:rRNA from 1 species
AGAGUUUGAUCCUGGCUCAGAAUGAACGCUGGCGGCGUGCUUAACACAUGCAAGUCGUACGAGAACACUCUAGCUUGCUAGGGUAAGUAAAGUGGCGCACGGGUGAGUAACGCGUGGGUAAUCUACCUUCGAAUUGGGGAUAACGUUGCGAAAGCGACGCUAAUACCGAAUAACAUCCAUUAAUCUUCGGGUUUUUGGAUCAAGGGUGGCCUCUACAUGUAAGCUACUGUUUGAAGAUGAGCCCGCGUACCAUUAGCUUGUUGGUGGGGUAAAGGCCUACCAAGGCUUCGAUGGUUAGCUGGUCUGAGAGGAUGAUCAGCCACACUGGAACUGACACACGGUCCAGACUCCUACGGGAGGCAGCAGUGAGGAAUUUUGCGCAAUGGGGGAAACCCUGACGCAGCAACGCCGCGUGAGUGAUGAAGGCUUUCGGGUCGUAAAGCUCUGUCAAGUGGGAAGAACCUGCAGUAUGCUAAUAUCAUAUUGCACUGACGGUACCACUGAAGGAAGCACCGGCUAACUCCGUGCCAGCAGCCGCGGUAAUACGGGGGGUGCAAGCGUUAUUCGGAAUCAUUGGGCGUAAAGAGCACGUAGGCGGCCUGGUAAGUCAGAUGUGAAAGCCCGGGGCUUAACCCCGGAAGUGCAUUUGAUACUGUCAGGCUUGAGUAUGGGAGAGGGAAGUGGAAUUCCUGGUGUAGAGGUGAAAUUCGUAGAUAUCAGGAGGAACACCGGUGGCGAAGGCGACUUCCUGGACCAAUACUGACGCUGAGGUGCGAAGGCGUGGGUAGCAAACAGGAUUAGAUACCCUGGUAGUCCACGCAGUAAACGUUGUUCACUAGGUGUAGCGGGUAUUGACCCCUGCUGUGCCGCAGUUAACGCAUUAAGUGAACCGCCUGGGGAGUACGGCCGCAAGGUUAAAACUCAAAGGAAUUGACGG